CAAGACCCCUGCUGCUGGGGGCAGCAGACAGCAGAUGAGAGGGUGUGGUCUUUCCCAGGGAACCCAGGGGCCCCUUGGCCCUCCUUGGGAGGCAGUGAACCAUGGAGGAAGCAGGGCCCUCCCACCAGCUUCCCUUUGUGCAAUUCUUUUUCCUGCUCCUCUCCACCCAGAAGCAGGCCUGGCAACAAGGCUGAAACACCACUGGCAGAAACCCAGCACCCACACAGCCAGGCAUGGGCUGGGUUCCCCAGGUAGGCCGGGCCUAUCCUACCUCUGGACCAGGGGAACCUCCCCCAUAUGUGCUACCCUCAGGUCCUACAGUGAGGGAGGGACUGGGGAGCUUAUGGCUUGGUCCCAGCCCUGCCCCAAAUGCAUUCCUGACCAGCUCAGAGAGGCCUCUUCCUUCCUCUUUCUUUUGCAGGGAAGACCAUCAAUCUUCUCACCCACCUAAGGCAUUUGGCCGCGGCAGGAGGGCCUCAGAGUUCCUACCCGAUGCUGAGUGGGACCCAAGGGAACAGGAUGCCAGGCCUCUGCGGGUCACCCGUGGUGAAAUAAAUGGCCAUCAAGCACCCACUACAUGCGAGGCACUGUGCCGGGCACUGGGACACCGAGGGACUAAACCACCACACCGUCCCCGUGUUCACAGAGCUUCCCAGGAGAGGCACAGGCCUGCCCUCAUUAUAGAAUACCCACAACUGCCUGACCUCUCCAGCACGCUGCUCGGCCAAGGACCUCGCUUCACCUGGCAUGGCAAAGGAUGUGACAACAGUUUGAGGAACAUUUGCUGAGCCCAAUUGGAGACAAAAACAAUUUUUUUUUAUUUUUUUAAUGUGUAUUUAUUAAUUUUUGAGAGAGAGAAAGAGAGACAGAGCAUGAGUGGGGGAGGGGCAGAGAGCGAGGGAGACACAGAAUCCGAAGCAAGGCUCCAGGCUCCGAGCUGUCAGCACCGAGCCCGAUGCAGGGCUCGAACCCACGCACCGUGAGAUCAUGACCUGAGCCGGACGCUUAACCACCUGAGCCACCCAGGUGAUCCCCAAAUUUUUUUUAAUUAAAAAAACAGCAAACUAUAUGCUAACUAAUUUGGAUGUAAAUUUUAGAAAAUAAAAAAUAAAAUUAAAUUAAAAAAACCCGGCAAUCAUGCAGGUGGAUUGUACGAUCGACGUUUAUAGCCACUGAAGCCCAGAGAGGCCGAACAUUUGGC